GCAAGCGCAGGCGGAUGCAUAAGUUCUGUGUGAAAAGCAGUUGCUUAACAAUUGUUGGCACCGAAUACUAUGCAUCUAGAAUGUGGUAGGAAGUUUUGGAAUUAAAUAUGGAGCGGUGGAAUGUGUAGAUAUAUUUAAGAACACCAGAGGCGAAGGCGAAAACUUAGGCCAUAAUUGACGCUUAGGCUUGAAAGUGUGGGGAGCAAAUGGGAUUAGAUACCCCAGUAGUCCACACCGUAAACGAUGGGUAUUAGAUAUCGGGUUCUGAGACUCGGUGUUGUAGCUUACGUGUUAAAUACCCCGCCUGGGUAGUACACAUGCAAAUGUGAAACUCAAAGGAAUUGACGGGGAUCUGAACAAGUGGUGGAGCAUGUUGCUUAAUUCGAUAAUACACGAAAAACCUUACCAAGAUUUGACAUCUCCCGCGAAGCUAUAGAAAUAUAGUGGAGGUUAUCGGGAUGACAGGUGGUGCAUGGUUGUCGUCAGCUCGUGUCUUGAGAUGUUUGGUUAAGUCCCAUAACGAGCGCAACCUUACUUCUUUGUUAUUUUUCUAAGAAGACUGAACAGUAAUGUAUAGGAAGGUCGAGAUCACGUCAAAUCAUCAUG
rnacentral:rRNA from 1 species